rnacentral:rRNA from 1 species
AUUGAACGCUGGCGGCAGGCCUAACACAUGCAAGUCGAACGAGUGGCGGACGGGUGAGUAAUGUCUGGGAACCUGCCUGAUGGAGGGGGAUAACUACUGGAAACGGUAGCUAAUACCGCAUACCAUAAGAUGUACCCAGAUGGGAUUAGCUUGUUGGGGGGGUAACGGCUCACAAAGGGGACGAUCCCUAGCUGGUCUGAGAGGAUGACCAGCCACACUGGAACUGAGCCACGGUCCAGACUCCUACGGGAGGCAGGAGUGGGGAAGAUUGCACAAUGGGCGCAAGCCUGAUGAAGCCAGGCCGCUUGUAUGAAGAAGGCCUUCGGGUUGUAAAGUACUUUCAGCGGGGAGGCGUUACCCGCAGAAGAAGCACCGGCUAACUCCGUGCCAGCAGCCGCGGUAAUUC